rfam:Ovis aries breed Texel chromosome 1, whole genome shotgun sequence.
CCCUGGUUGCUCACUUGGUAAAGAAUCUGCUUGUAAUGCAGGAGAUCCUGGUUCGAUUCCUGGGUCAGGAA